rnacentral:rRNA from 1 species
AGCAGCCGCGGUAAUUCCAGCUCCAAUAGCGUAUAUUAAAGUUGUUGCAGUUAAAAAGCUCGUAGUUGAAUUUCGGGAUUUGUCAGUUGGUCGGGCUUCACUGUCCGUAUUGACUUGAUGGAUUCUUACCUUCUGAAUAACCAGCAUGCUAUUAAGUUAGUGCGUUGGGGAAGCAGAUCUAUUACCUUGAAAAAAUUAGAGUGCUUAAAGCGAGCUAGUGCUUGAAUAGAUUAGCAUGGAAUAAUAAAAUAGGACGGCAUGGUUCUAUUUUGUUGGUUUCUAGGAUCACCGUAAUGAUUAAUAGGGAUAGUUGGGGGCAUUAGUACUCAAUUGUCAGAGGUGAAAUUCUUGGAUUUAUUGAAGACUAACUUCUGCGUAAGCAUUUGCCAAGGAUGUUUUCAUUAAUCAAGAACGAAAGUUAGGGGAUCGAAGACGAUCAGAUACCGUCGUAGUCUUAACCAUAAACUAUGCCGACUAGGAAUCGGAUGAUGUUAAUUUAUAAUGUA